ACAACAGCUUGGAUGGAUAUGAAAAUCACAGUGUCAUAUAGCUGUCUGUAGAAUACACAAAAUUAACAGAGGGAGAACGUGUACGGAUCGGGAUCGACCUGGCGUCGAAGAUUAAGCGGAUCUAUCCUGUUAUCAUCGGGCUAGAUUUCAUGUUGUGACGUGAAGUGUUCACUUGAGACGACAUGUACAGAUGAAAAAACCCCUGGACAGCUGUUUUCUCUACACCAUUUCUUCUUUCCCGUUGUCUGGCUACCAUAGUUUUGUCAGCCUUUCAGGCCCUAAUCUUGCUAGUUUUUCCUACGUUUCCAUUUAGGAGUUUCAAUGGGUCUGACCAGCAGACUUUACAACACCGUCUUCAAAAGAUCAUCGACCUAUGCCGUGGUGGUCGUAGUAGGAGCGUUCUUUUUUGAAAGGACUUUC